CCUACGGGUGGCAGCAGUGGGGAAUAUUGGACAAUGGGCGAAAGCCUGAUCCAGCCAUGCCGCGUGUGUGAAGAAGGCCUUCGGGUUGUAAAGCACUUUCAGUGGGGAAGAAAGCCUUGGGGCUAAUACCCUCGAGGAAGGACAUCACCCACAGAAGAAGCACCGGCUAACUCCGUGCCAGCAGCCGCGGUAAUACGGAGGGUGCGAGCGUUAAUCGGAAUUACUGGGCGUAAAGCGCGCGUAGGCGGUCUGAUAAGCCGGUUGUGAAAGCCCCGGGCUGAACCUGGGAACGGCAUCCGGAACUGUCAGGCUAGAGUGCAGGAGAGGAAGGUAGAAUUCCCGGUGUAGCGGUGAAAUGCGUAGAGAUCGGGAGGAAUACCAGUGGCGAAGGCGGCCUUCUGGACUGACACUGACGCUGAGGUGCGAAAGCGUGGGUAGCAAACAGGAUUAGAUACCCUUGUAGUC
rnacentral:rRNA from 1 species